UAGACCCAUAUGUAAGUAAGUUAUUGCCAAAUAAUGUUACUGCAUUGUUAAGGUAACACAUAUAUGUUAAAAACGCAAGUUAAAGUUGAAAACAAUAAGUAUAAUGAAAGUCAGUGAAAACUAAAAGUAAAAUGGUUGCUGCCGUUGCUUUUCCACUUGUGAAGUUGGGACUUCUGGCAGUGCGACAAAUAGCAAAACCUCUAGCGAAUUGGAUCAAAACCAGGGCUAAAAGAAGCUUUUUCUUUCGUACUUAUGUAUGCAUGCCACCCGCACAGAUGAAAAGCUUCUAGUCGAUGACUGCUGGUGUGAUGCUGCUCCAUGAAUGGGAAAGCAUGCCCUGGUGCAUACAGAACCCGAACAAUCUCAUCAGAUAGCUCAUCUAGAAAACAGGUUGGCUGUGGAGCUCCAUCAUCAGCAACCUUCCAGUACCUGCAUUUUUUGGACAACUCAAACCAACCUUUUUUUAUUAUUGUCUUCCAGUUAUGCAAAAAUAGUUAUUGUAUAACUGGAUGGAAGUAAAUGUCAAGAUGAGGAUGUUAAAUCUUGGAAAACCUUCAGAAGUACCAAAGCUAAAUGAAGCUAUGGCCAUUGAUUUAGGAGCUGAACUUUUGGGUGAAGCAGUUAUUUUUUUUGUUGCUGCAGCCUCGAUAAUAGCCGAGUACAUAAGAUCAUCAUUAAAAGAGAAGGAUAAAAAAGUUGCUAAGGAACAACAUUUUACAAAUUUAGAAAGUAAGAUAAAUUACCUCAAGUUUACUGUUGAUAGACAAGAAGCAGAAAUUAGACACUUAACCCGUGUUUAUUAUGU
rnacentral:misc_RNA from 1 species